rnacentral:misc_RNA from 1 species
GCAACAUAUAAGACAUUCACAUAAAAUAAAUCAACAAAGAGCCCCGCAAUCAUCAAACUAAUUAAUUAAAAAAUGACACAUGCAUUACCACUUUAAGUAUCCCAAUAUUUGCUUGUUCAAGAUAAACUUGCCUCUUGAAGCAGAACAACACAAAAACAGAACUUAUUACUUGGGAUAGAUCCAAUACCCAUUAUCUGCAUCCAUUUAUUAGAAACAGGUUCCAUUUCUUUCAUCCUAACUUUGAUACAUUUCCCUUAACAAAAUGUCAAACUUGGCUCUCUUUUAAUCCUAAUGUGAUAUAUUCAAAGGGAAAUCCAAGUUAUAUUAUUUUAUGCUUUAGUUACACAUGUUGGAUGUUAUACUUCCUCUAACAUAUAAAGAUAAUAGAGUAUGAAUUGGUUACAUAAAUAACCUAUUCCACUAUGUUUUGGCUCACUAAUACAUCAAGUCUUUCAAAUCUCAUAAGGAUUCUGUUAUUGGAUGACUUAACAUCAAAAUACAAAUAAUUCAUCUCAUUAAACUUUCUUUCAUAUAAUGUACCCAUUCGGAAGUCACCUUGUAAUUCUAAAUAUUGAGAAAAAUCACCUCUACUACUAUUACAAACUUGAAUUGAACAGCCGGAGGCGAACGAAUGGGCCGAGUCAAGAGUUCGUGAAACGUGAGAUAAGCUUACUCAAGCUUGGACCAAGCAUCGCUAAAAGGUUAGAACUAAUCAAUUGGUUAGUUACCCUUCCACCCUUAUAAAACCUUUGAGUUUCUUAUUCUUUUCCAAUACGGGACUCUUGACACUCUCGCUCAAGUGGAAACCUUUUUUGUUGACACUUGAAAUUGAA